rnacentral:rRNA from 1 species
UGGGGAAUAUUGCACAAUGGGCGCAAGCCUGAUGCAGCCAUGCCGCGUGUAUGAAGAAGGCCUUCGGGUUGUAAAGUACUUUCAGCGGGGAGGAAGGUAGUAAAGUUAAUACCUUUGCUCAUUGACGUUACCCGCAGAAGAAGCACCGGCUAACUCCGUGCCAGCAGCCGCGGUAAUACGGAGGGUGCAAGCGUUAAUCGGAAUUACUGGGCGUAAAGCGCACGCAGGCGGUUUGUUAAGUCAGAUGUGAAAUCCCCGGGCUCAACCUGGGAACUGCAUCUGAUACUGGCAAGCUUGAGUCUCGUAGAGGGGGGUAGAAUUCCAGGUGUAGCGGUGAAAUGCGGAGAGAUCUGGAGGAAUACCGGUGGCGAAGGCGGCCCCCUGGACGAAGACUGACGCUCAGGUGCGAAAGCGUGGGGAGCAAACAGG